rnacentral:rRNA from 1 species
CUGGCGGCGUGCCUAACACAUGCAAGUCGAGCGAUGAAAUCCUUCGGGAUGGAUUAGCGGCGGACGGGUGAGUAACACGUGGGUAACCUGCCUUGUAGAGGGGGAUAGCCUUCCGAAAGGAAGAUUAAUACCGCAUAACAUCUUUUUUAUCGCAUGGUAGAAAGAUCAAAGGAGCAAUCCGCUACAAGAUGGACCCGCGGCGCAUUAGCUAGUUGGUGAGGUAACGGCUCACCAAGGCGACGAUGCGUAGCCGACCUGAGAGGGUGAUCGGCCACAUUGGAACUGAGACACGGUCCAGACUCCUACGGGAGGCAGCAGUGGGGAAUAUUGCGCAAUGGGGGGAAACCCUGACGCAGCAACGCCGCGUGAAUGAAGAAGGCCUUAGGGUUGUAAAGUUCUGUUUACGGGGACGAUAAUGACGGUACCCGUGGAGGAAGCCACGGCUAACUACGUGCCAGCCGCGGC